GUGCUUGUUCCAGCAGUACAUGUGCUAAAAUUGGAAAGAUACACACACUAAUUAGCAUGGCUGCUGUACAUGGAUGACAAGAAAAUUCAUAAAGCAUUCCUUAUUUUU
ensembl:snRNA U6 U6 spliceosomal RNA